rnacentral:misc_RNA from 1 species
AAAAAAAAUAAAACAAAAAUGGCAUCAAAUUCUACAGAGCCUACAGCUUCAAAAAUUGUUGCUAAGCUAAACUUGAAGGUACAUCCAGAAGGGGGAUUUUACUCAGAAACAUUUAGAGAUAACUCAGUUAUUCUCUCCAGAUCUCAUCUUCCAUCUACAUAUAAGGUUGAUCGACCUGUCAGUACAUGCAUCUACUUCUUGCUACCUUCUGGAAGUGCGUCUCAUCUUCACCGGAUACCUUGUGCAGAAACAUGGCAUUUUUAUAUGGGAGAGCCAAUCACUGUGAUGGAGCUAAACGAAACUGAUGGCAAGGUGAAGUUAACUUGCGUUGGACCCGAUCCCCUCGUAGAUGAUCAAUUCGUGCAGUAUACAGUACCUCCAAAUGUAUGGUUUGGCGCAUUUCCCACGAAGGAUUACAACAUAUCUUCCGAUAUGCAAGUAACGAAAGCACCUACAAGAGAUGGUGAGAAACAUUUCUCUCUAGUUGGAUGCACUUGUGCUCCAGCAUUCCAGUUUGAAGAUUUUGAAUUAGCAAAACGUUCUGAUCUUGUCUCGCGUUUUCCUGCCCACGAAUCCCUUGUCUCUUUGCUAGCCUUCCCUGAUCUGUGAGAGAUAUGUAUUCAAUGGCGGAUCUAGAGCAUAAUCUACGGGUUUUACAUAACCUAGUAGCUUUUUCGCGGACCUUGUAAAAUAUCUAUAUAUAUUUGAUUCUUGUUUCCUGUUUCAUCUUAUUACUUGUGUGUUAUGUGUUCAGAGUGGCAAUAAAAGGCAA